CCGGAGCUACGCUGGCCCACACACCGGGUCGCCCGCUCCUUCCCGCCGCGCCCCGUUCCCCCGCCCGAUCUUCCAGCCGCUAGGCUCGCCGAGUCCGGCCGUGGCCGCCGGUUACCGCCCCCAGCCCGGGGGGAGCCCGGGGGGCAGGACGGGGAGGGAGGACGUGGCGCGCACGGAGGUGGCCAGCGGCGAGGCGGGGAGUGUCCUGGAGAGGCCCGGCCGGGGGCAGGGGGCCGGCUCGGCUCCCGGGGCUGCGGGCCCGGACCCUCCCCGCGAGCAUCCCAGGGUCUGAGGUCCCGGCCCGCCCCCGCCCGGCGCGGAGAGGCGGCCCCAACUUCCAGACCCACUUCGCACGCCCGCCCUCCUCCCUCCACCAUAUGGAAAUCUACAGCCUCAGAAAGUGACACGUCGAAGAUUCCUCGGCCUCUCCGCCCGCCCUCCCCCUCCCGGGCAGCGUUCCUGCCGCGGAGAUUCCGGGAGGGGGAGCAGAUUCCUCGGACAGAAUCUGCUGGGAAGGAUGGGGAGGGCGAGGGGGGAGGGAGAGCCCGGGAGCCACUGCCCAGAUUUUUUUUCAUCAAGAAGAAUCUACCCGCUUCUUUCCCUCCUCCAAACCCAGGCAAGCUGGGGCGACGGGAGGGGGGGCCAGAGCCCAGCAAGAUGCGGCCCCAAAGUGGAGACCAGCCCCCUCCCGGGCCCCGUGUUCCCGGGGUGCCCAGGCGAGCGCGGGGCGCCCUAGCACUCUGGCGCCAAGUUUUCCCCGGGAAGCCCGGCGCGCCCGGAGCGCUCCGGGACAGGAUCGCACUCCCGCGGACUCCGCGUCCGGCCGGGGCUUUCCAGCGCGCGGGACCCGGCGGCCGAGGUGCGGGGUCCUGGUGCCUCCAGUCUGCCGAUCGUGCACGCCUUACCUUCCCUCGGGCUGAAAAGCGGGGCUCCGGGCGCGCCACACACCGGGUCGCCCACGCCUUCCCAGCCGGUAGUCUCGAGGAUCCCCGCUGCCCCUUCGCCGCUCCCGCCGCCGCCGCCGCCGCCGCCGCUCUCCUCCUCCUCCGGCCGCCGCCGCCGCUCAAAUAA
rnacentral:lncRNA from 1 species